rnacentral:ncRNA from 1 species
AUAGGGAAAUUCAUGGGGAUAAAUUGCAGCUUUCUAAGCGAAAGCUUAGAUUGAAAAAUAAGGUUAACUGUCGGGAAGCCUAAGUCAAAAUUUUGAUAUGGUAAUCCGCAGCCAAUCCCGCCAAUGCGGCGGGCAGGUUCAGAGACUAGAGCAAAAAGCUCGUACCAUUUUUAAAUAAAAAUGGGAAACGCCUUACAUCUAAGUCAGGCUUAGCUUGAUAUGAUGAUGAGAUAGUCCACCCUUUAGAGAAAUCUAGAG